rnacentral:misc_RNA from 1 species
UUUCCGUAGGUGAGCCUGCGGAAGGAUCAUUAUUGUAUAACCGAGGUGCGAGAGCUGUCGCUGACCCGAAAGGUCGUGCACGCCCGAGUGCCCUCACACACAUCCAUCUUACCCCUAUGUGCACCACCGCGUGGGUCCCCCUUUGGCUUGUUCGGAGGGGGGCUUACGUUUUCACACAAACUUUGUAUGCAGUGUAGAAUGUAUUUUUUGUUUUUGCGAUCACGCAAUCAAUACAACUUUCAACAACGGAUCUCUUGGCUCUC